UAUUGUAUUUGAUGUUUAUCAAUUGGAUGCUUCUGGAUUCUUUAGAUAAGCAGUCCACCACCGAUUUCCUUCCCACCUGUCUUUGGUUUUGUCACAAGGCGAUUCCUUCAUCGCAUAUCCCUAACUCAAUCACCACUUUCCCAACCCACCUCUCCUGCUACGCUAUCUGAUUCCUUUCCAGAAAACGUCAGAAUCGACUCGAUUGUUAGGAAACAAGUUUCCAGUUCCUUGACGCCAUAUCCGCAAAUCAUCCGCCACUUUCCGUCAUCGGGUAAGUUUGUGCAUCCGAGUGGUUUUCUUCUACUGUUUUCUUCUAAUUGAUACAUGUUGUCUUCGUUAUCUCCGAUGGUUCACAACGUCUAUAACUUCCUGGUAUUGGCAACGGUGGUGGAAGUGGCGGACUGUACGACGGUGGUGGUGGCAGUUACCGUCCAAACCCUAAUUACUACUAUCAACCUUGAAACCCUAAUCAUCAAAAUCAAUUUCAGUAGCAGCGGCGCCAACCACAGUACACGCAGAGGUAGCAGUGUCGACAACUAAACAACACACAACAACAGUGGCUAAGACGGAUCCCUAUCGAAGAACGAUAGAAUCUCUGCAAGACAUGCACGCCAAGUGUUUGUUGAUUCGCCUCAAUUAGCUACAACUCACUCGCUACCAGAUCUUUGGGAGCAUUUCUUUCUUACACAUCUUCUCCAUAUCAAAAAUUGGUACCACUUCCUUCUGUGGCUUUGCCUUCGAUCAGUUUAUUAUCUUCUUCAUCCAGUCGAAGAAGAAGGAGUUCAUCCUUUGGUAACUUUCUACAUCGAGCUAUUUUUGGUGCUCCCGUUGAGAAACAGGCAUCUAUGGAGUGUCACUCUACCAUAUUUUGAUCCCUAACCUGUAUGACCGCCUACUACUUCCCCAUCAGGUUCCAUCUUCUUGGUUCUAAGUUGAAAUUUAUUAUGCUUCACAAAUUGGACCAUUUAUAGUUAAUUAUUUACAUUAAUUUUGUUGUUUCUUAUGUUUUCAGAUAAAAUUCCUAAACCUUCCUAUCCUUAUUUUAUCAAUUCGUAUCAAUUGACCUUUCUUUUGAUAUUCGAUCGAAGUUUCUUGUGGAGGUUUGGUGAAAUUUUGUUCCAUAUUAGGGAUUACUAAAAUUGAAUUUUUGUUAUUGCAGAGUCAUUGGUAAUUAAGUUUUUCAAAUGAUUGAGUUAUAUGUGCAGACCAAGUGUUUGAUAAAAUGCUUAAGAGAAGAAAGAGCAUGUUAAAUGUUUAAAUGUCCAUUGUUCUAUUGUGUAAAUUGUUCUGAUGUACACAAAUAUGGGUGAACACGAUGGCAAAGAAAGUGUAGGGACACCUAUAUCGGCUCUCUCUCACUGUUAUUCUCUCUCCCACUGCCAUUAUCCUACUUCGCUGCCUCUUACUGGAAAAGAACGACCUACAGAGCCAAUUUUGAAAGGGAAGACUAAUUGUACCUUGAAAGUGUUUGUUAAAAUGCCAUCUUUUUAAAGAACAUAUUAAGAAACUUAGUGGUGUUUCUGUUUCUUUUCUGAUAGACGAUAGUCAUGUUUUAGACACAGAAAGAGGCUCUUACAUUUCUCCCUUAGAGGGAUUAAGUUCCCACAGAAUCCCCAUAAAACCCAACAACAAUCUCAAAGAAACUCAUGAUAGAAAGACUGCUGGUGUAUGGGGAUAUUUCUUUAAAAUAGUCUUCCAGGCAAGUAUUUCAAAAAUAAAGCUUCACUUUGUGUUAUUUCCAUUAAUACCCUUCCUCACCUUCUCUCUUAAUAAACAUAUAUGUGCAGGAGCUGUUGGACUCGCUGAUAGUGUAUUUUGGUUCAUAAUCUAUCUGUUUCUUACCCCUGUAGGUUACAAUUUAACUUUAGUAAGCCUUUCUUGCAUUUAGGCUUUCAUGUUAAAACGAGAUAAAAACAUGCAUGAAAAUGGACAUGACCAUUUUGAGGGGUAUUUGUGUCCGUUUCAGUUGGAUGUUAGGAUGCAUUCUCUCAAUGCCAUUCUCCUCAUUAUGCCAUACCCCGUGAAAGUUAAGUUUCAACCUCUAUUCAAAGUUAACUUGAGUUUGGGAUUCGUUAUUAACUCAUAUUUUUUUCUUUAAAAAUGAUUGUUAGCUUACAGGUAACUAAACAAAACGUAACUAAAAAAAAUAGUCAUAUAGAUUAGUUUUUAUGCUAUUAAAAAAACCUUUACAAUCUAUUUUCGAUAUUGUUUGUCGAUUUAAUAUCAUUUGACAUUGAAGGUAAAGAAUUGAAUUGAAUAUAAAACCUAUACAACUAACUAAUAAUAAUGUUUUCAUCCCACUGGAUAUUUUAUGGCAACAUGAUCGGCAAAGUUGUUUGUAUACCACUUAUCUAGGGCCAUUUGAGUACUUUCCUACAAUUUAUUGAAGUUAGAUUGUUAUGUUUCGCCUGUAAGCAUGUAAUUUGUUUAUUUUUUGUUACUUGGCUCAUAACUCUGUUACUAUUUAUAAAUUUGAUUCAAAGUAGACGUAUCCCUGCACUUAUAUGGUUUUUUUGUUACUUGGCUCCCCCAUGGUAUUUGUUUUUUAUUACAUUUAUGGAAUGCUCAUUUUACAUUUGUUAAAAAAAAUUGAUUUCAACAGUUUUGGACCAAAAUGCCCCUGUAUAAUGUUUUUAUACUUAAAAAAAUUUCAAAUUUAACAAUUUUGGAUGAAAGUGCCCUUGCAUACCUUGGACAGUUGAGGUUGCCCCGCCUGCGUCUCUAGACCAUGGUUCCUUUCAAUAUUUAUGAAUAUGCUUCCUUGGGAAAGUGUUCUUACACUGUGGGAUGGGCUUCUAUUUCAAGGAAAUCAUGUGGGAGCAAAUCUUAAAGGAGUGAAUCUAACGGUAUAAGUAUCUGUUUUUUUGUGCGGUUAUGGUUCUUUCUGUCUACUUGAUGUUUGUAUAUUUGUGUCUCUUUUUUGUUUCUUCAAAACAAAGACUUUUGAGUUUGACUUUUUAGAUUUAGUUUUACAUUUCGGUUUUGUUUGGUCGUAGUCAACAUUUAUUGCGUGUACUUUUUCUCAUAUUUACUUGGCAUAUGUACUGAAUAGCAACGUACUUUUACCUUUCA